UACAGAGGGUGCGAGCGUUGUCCGGAAUCACUGGGCGUAAAGGGCGCGUAGGUGGCGACCCAAGUCUGUGGUGAAAGCUCGCCGCUUAACGGCGAGUCGGCCACGGAUACUGGGUGGCUCGAGCACUGUAGGGGCAGAUGGAAUUCCGGGUGUAGCGGUGGAAUGCGUAGAGAUCCGGAAGAACACCGGUGGCGAAGGCGGUCUGCUGGGCAGUAGCUGACACUGAGGCACGAAAGCUAGGGGAGCAAACAGG
rnacentral:rRNA from 1 species